GAAGAGCUGAGGCAGCUGGUCCAUCAGCUUAAACCUGAACACAUUCAAUGAUGGUUUUAAGGGCUGAAUAAUCUCCCAGUUACUUUCAUCAUCGACCCACCACUCCAUUUUAAAGUGAAGAGGGUGGCGAAGGCAGACAUGAUGACCAGAGGCACCGUGAUGGCCAUGGCACGGAUAGGCCCCGCCCAGGGGGAGUGGACUGGAGGAUGGAACAAACACACCCAGCAUGACACACCUGAAUCUGUUUUUGUGUAUAUACAGAGCAUUUUGGUUGAUACACAAAUGGAAAAAGGUCUGUUAUUGGUAGGAUGAACUGUUACGGAGCCAAAGGAUGAGCUGAAGUAUCAUUUGGACAUUUAAUCUGAUUAUAGUAGGAACUGAAAAGCAGGUAAACUGAGAAUGAAAAGAGGAAAAACAAGAAAAAAAGGAAAAUGGCAAUUAAAGUGUCUUUCAGAUUUGGGACAAUGAA